rnacentral:misc_RNA from 1 species
CACCUCGCUUGCCAGACUCUCAUCUUUAUAGGGUUUGAGCAUGUGUUCUAUCGCAGGUCUGACAGCUUCUAAACAAGACGCUACUUUGGUCGGAGUGUGUCCAUACAGCGUAAUUAGCACGGAAGACAACGCUCGCAAUGCAGCUUCUGCUUCUCUGCUUUUAUCGGUGGUUCAGGCCUAAACUACUCACGCGAUCUUGCUGUCGAAUUGUAUGGAAACGAAUUUCUUGACGAUUUUUUUCAGUAAAUCAAACGUGUUCCAUACGGAAGUUCGGGGCGCAUCGAUCCUCGUUUCACGUGAAAGAAUUCGUUUGAUCAAGUCUUGAUGUUGCCUUAAAAUAAAUCAACACUAUCUUCAAACUGAG